rnacentral:lncRNA from 1 species
GGGUGUGAGAGAACCAGACAGUUGGACUGGGGAGUGAGAGAACCAGACAGUUGGACUGGGGGUGUGAGAGAACCAGACAGUUGGACUGGGGGAGUGAGAGAACCAGACAGUUGGACUGGUGGAGUGAGAGAACCAGACAGUUGGACUGGUGGAGUGAGAGAACCAGACAGUUGGACUGGUGGAGUGAGAGAACCAGACAGUUGGACUGGUGGAGUGAGAGAACCAGACAGUUGGACUGGUGGAGUGAGAGAACCAGACAGUUGGACUGGGGGUGUGAGAGAACCAGACAGUUGGACUGGGGAGUGAGAGAACCAGACAGUUGGACUGGGGAUGUGAGAGAACCAAACAGUUGGACUGGGGGUGUGAGAGAACCAGACAGUUGGACUGGGAGUGUGAGAGAACCAGACAGUUGGACUGGGAGUGUGAGAGAACCAGACAGUUGGACUGGGGGAGUGAGAGAACCAGACAGUUGGACUGGGGAGUGAGAGAACCAGACAGUUGGACUGGGGGUGUGAGAGAACCAGACAGUUGGACUGGUGGAGGGAGAGAACCAGACAGUUGGACUGGGGGAGUGAGAGAACCAGACAGUUGGACUGGGGGUGUGAGAGAACCAGACAGUUGGACUGGGGUGUGAGAGAACCAGACAGUUGGACUGGGGAGUGAGAGAACCAGACAGUUGGACUGGUGGAGUGAGAGAACCAGACAGUUGGACUGGGGGUGUGAGGGAACCAGACAGUUGGACUGGGAGUGUGAGAGAACCAGACAGUUGGACUGGGGGUGUGAGAGAACCAGACAGUUGGACUGGGGAGUGAGAGAACCAGACAGUUGGACUGGGGGAGUGAGAGAACCAGACAGUUGGACUGGGUGAGUGAGAGAGCCAGACAGUUGGACUGGGGGAGUGAGAGAACCAGACAGUUGGACUGGGGGUGUGAGAGAACCAGACAGUUGGACUGGGGUGUGAGAGAACCAGACAGUUGGACUGGGGGAGUGAUAGAACCAGACAGUUGGACUGGGGGAGUGAGAGAACCUGACAGUUGGACUGGGGGAGUGAGAGAACCAAACAGUUGGACUGGGAG